rnacentral:rRNA from 1 species
GGAGGGUGCAAACGUUGUUCGGAAUUAUUGGGCGUAAAGAGCAUGUAGGCGGUUUGUCAAGUCUGAUGUGAAAGCCCGGGGCUCAACCCCGGAAGUGCAUUGGAAACUGGCAAACUUGAGUACGGGAGAGGAAAGUGGAAUUUCGAGUGUAGGGGUGAAAUCCGUAGAUAUUCGAAGGAACACCAGUGGCGAAGGCGGCUUUCUGGACCGAUACUGACGCUGAGAUGCGAAAGCGUGGGGAGCAAACAGGAUUAGAUACCCUGGUAGUCCACGCCGUAAACGAUGGGUACUAGGUGUUGCGGGUAUUGACCCCCCUGCAGUGCCAAAGCUAACGCAUUAAGUACCCCGCCUGGGGAGUACGGCCGCAAGGCUA